CUGCCCCAUCCCCUUUCUUCUUCUAACCCUUCUGCAAAUUAAUCCUUUUUCUUUCUUCAAUCUUUCUGUCUGCUUACUUAAUUAAUUUCUUCAUGAAUGAAAAAAAAUAUAUAUGAAUAAGUAGUGAAUUUAAUUCAUCUUUUUUUCUCUUCAAUCUUUCCAUCCUUUUCUCCCUCUUCUAACCCCUAAUCCUCAUCUACACACUUUAUUAAUUUCUUCAGGAAUAAAAAGAAAUAUGUAUGAUGAAGUAGUGAAUUUUAACACCCUUUUUUACAACUUCAUUAUAGAAGAGAAAUAACCAUUCCUUUUCUUCUAAUAUUCAAUUCAAUUUGUCACAAGUAGAAUAAUUUUUUUCAGUUUUUACAAUCUCUAAAAGCUUAAUUUUCUAAUACCCGCUUUGCUUCAAAAAUGUUCACACAAUUUCUUACUAGGAUUACUGUAACUGUGUUUCUUCAAUUCCAACGACGUUUCUUGUUUGUUUUGCCCGUAAUUGCAUUCAAUCAAUGAAUCUAUCUAUUAAUUUUUUUUUUUUAAAAAAAGAGUUUUAGAUUGUGUUAAUUAAAAUUUUAAAGCGUUUUGAUUGUAGAAGGAGAAAGAGGGUGCGGGAAUUUGG
rnacentral:lncRNA from 1 species